rnacentral:rRNA from 1 species
AGUGAACGCUGGCGGUAGGCCUAACACAUGCAAGUCGAACGGCAGCACAGUAAGAGCUUGCUCUUACGGGUGGCGAGUGGCGGACGGGUGAGGAAUACAUCGGAAUCUACUUUUUCGUGGGGGAUAACGUAGGGAAACUUACGCUAAUACCGCAUACGACCUACGGGUGAAAGCAGGAGAUCUUCGGACCUUGCGCGAUUGAAUGAGCCGAUGUCGCAUUAGCUAGUUGGCGGGGUAAAGGCCCACCAAGGCGACGAUCCGUAGCUGGUCUGAGAGGAUGAUCAGCCACACUGGAACUGAGACACGGUCCAGACUCCUACGGGAGGCAGCAGUGGGGAAUAUUGGACAAUGGGCGCAAGCCUGAUCCAGCCAUACCGCGUGGGUGAAGAAGGCCUUCGGGUUGUAAAGCCCUUUUGUUGGGAAAGAAAAGCAGCAGGUUAAUACCCCGCUGUUCUGACGGUACCCAAAGAAUAAGCCCCGGCUAACUUCGUG